UGCUGCCUGAGCCUCUGCCACUGCUUCGGCUGCUGUUGCUAUGUUUCUUAUUUUGAGUUCGGGGUGUACCGUUACACACUGCGAGCACACAGCGAGUUGCGCCCUGCCCACGAAACAAGUUAUAACUACGACGCGCGCAACGCAUUCACUGGCCUGGCCUGGCYUGCUGCUGUCCUCUAUUCGCUGCCUGCGCCGCUAUUGUUGCUGUUGCU